AGCGAACGCUGGCGGCAGGCCUAACACAUGCAAGUCGAACGAAGCCUUCGGGCUUAGUGGCGGACGGGUGAGUAACACGUGGGAACGUACCUUUUGGUUCGGAACAACACAGGGAAACUUGAGCUAAUACCGGAUGAGCCCUUAGGGGGAAAGAUUUAUCGCCGAAAGAGCGGCCCGCGUUAGAUUAGCUAGUUGGUGAGGUAAAGGCUCACCAAGGCAACGAUCUAUAGCUGGUCUGAGAGGAUGAUCAGCCACACUGGGACUGAGACACGGCCCAGACUCCUACGGGAGGCAGCAGUGGGGAAUCUUGCGCAAUGGGCGAAAGCUUGACGCAGCCAUGCCGCGUGAAUGAUGAAGGUCUUAGGAUUGUAAAAUUCUUUUACCAGGGACGAUAAUGACGGUACCUGGAAAAAAAGCCCCGGCUAACUUCGUGCCAGCAGCCGCCGUAAUAC
rnacentral:rRNA from 1 species